UACGUAGGGGGCAAGCGUUGUCCGGAUUUAUUGGGCGUAAAGGGCUCGUAGGCGGCCAACUAAGUCAUACGUGAAAUCCCUCAGCUUAACUGGGGAACUGCGUGUGAUACUGGAUGGCUUGGAUUUGGGAGAGGGAUGCGGAAUUCCAGGUGUAGCGGUGAAAUGCGUAGAUAUCUGGAGGAACACCGGUGGCGAAGGCGGCAUCCUGGACCAAUAUUGACGCUGAGGAGCGAAAGCCAGGGGAGCAAACGGG
rnacentral:rRNA from 1 species